rnacentral:misc_RNA from 1 species
AUCCCCUCGGGUUUUGGACCCGGUCGGACUUGGACUUGGGUGUCUGCCAUCUGAUGGCUCACCUUAAAAGACUUAGUGGGAUAAGUGCCCAUGGCUAAGACGUAAUAAGUUUUGUCUGGCUUGGUGUGACCGCCUGCUCAUAACAAACCAUAUCUUUUGACUCUGACCUCAAGUCAGGUAGGGCUACCCGCUGAACUUAA